rnacentral:rRNA from 1 species
UACGGGGGGUGCAAGCGUUGUUCGGAUUUAUUGGGCGUAAAGCGCGUGUAGGCGGUUUGUUAAGUCUGUUGUGAAAGCCCUGGGCUCAACCCGGGAAGUGCACUGGAUACUGGCAGACUUGAAUACGGGAGAGGAGAGUGGAAUUCCUGGUGUAGGAGUGAAAUCCGUAGAUAUCAGGAGGAACACCGGUGGCGAAGGCGGCUCUCUGGACCGAUAUUGACGCUGAGGCGCGAAAGCCAGGGGAGCAAACGGG